AACGAACGCUGGCGGCAUGCCUAACACAUGCAAGUCGAACGAGACCUUCGGGUCUAGUGGCGCACGGGUGCGUAACGCGUGGGAACCUGCCCUUAGGUUCGGAAUAACUCACCGAAGGGGGUGCUAAUACCGGAUAAUGUCUUCGGACCAAAGAUUUAUCGCCUUUGGAUGGGCCCGCGUUGGAUUAGCUGGUUGGUAGGGUAAAAGCCUACCAAGGCGACGUUCCAUAGCUGGUCUGAGAGGAGGAUCAGCCACACUGGGACUGAGACACGGCCUAGAGUGCGACGGGAGGGAGCAGUAGGGAAUAUUAGACAAGGGGCGAAAGCGUGAUACAGCAAUGCCGCGUAAGUGAUGAAGGCCUUAGGGUUGUAAAUCUCUUUUACCCGGGAUGAUAAUGACAGUACCGGGAGAAUAAGCACCGGCUAACUACGUG
rnacentral:rRNA from 1 species